rnacentral:rRNA from 1 species
GACGAACGCUGGCGGCAGGCUUAACACAUGCAAGUCGAGGGGAGCGGCUGACGGGUGAGUAACGCGUGGGAACGUACCUGUUGGUUCAGAACAACACAGGGAAACGUGUGCUAAUACCGGAUACCGAACGAACGGGCCGCGUCUGAUUAGCGAGUUGGUAGGGUAAUGGCCUACCAAGGCGACGAUCAGUAGCUGGUCUGAGAGGAUGAUCAGCAACAUUGGGACUGAGACAAGGCCCAAACUCCUAGGGGAGGGAGCAGGUGGGAAUAUUGGACAAUGGGGGCAACCCUGAGCCAGCCAUGUCGUGUGGGUGAUGAAGUCCGUAGGGUAGUAAAGCUUUCUUGUGCUGGGAGCGGUACCGGAAGAAUAAGCCCCGGCUAACUUCGUGCCAGCCGCCGCGGUAAUUC